rnacentral:sRNA from 1 species
UUUUUUUUCUGUUUUUAAUA